UUUCUCGGCAAACAACAAACUCAUUCUUCAUGCAUAUUCAAAUGCAGAUUGCGGUGAGAUUCAGACGAUUAUGUACUCGUACAUCUUGUUAGUGCACCUUCAGUCAGGUCAAACCAGAAGGAGUGUUGAUUGCUGGAACAAACUGGAAGCUGUUUCAGAAGAUUAAAGUGAAGAUCAAGUAAUUGAUGCUGACGUGGAUAUACCGCCAAAUGAACGAAUGACGUGGAGAUCACAACAGAAUGAGUUCGGUUUGGAAAGAAGAUAUUCACGCAAAGAUCUGGAGUGAUCCAAGAUCUUGAAGACUAACCUAGAAGACCAAAGACCUCGAUGAUAUAAAUAGAGGUGCUAAGGUGCUUGCUAGAGUUGGCCAUGAUUGUGAGUGAAAAAGCUAGUGCAACGCUUUUCAUUGUUAGAGACUAAGGUUUAGUCUGAUUGGAAUUCUAGAGAGAUCAAAGAGUGUGUUCUUGUGAUAUACUCUUGUGUGUUUAGAGAAAUCUCAGGUGACAAGAUAUAGUAGUUUAGAUCUUGUGUAAAACCAAUUAAGGUAGUUGUAAACUUCUUAAUCAGAUUUCUAAUAAAGUGAUACUCAGUGGUUCUUAGUUUGGGGAAUACGAUUCUUGGUUCAUCCGGAAUUUCACAUCUACCUAGGACGACGAAACCCAAUAUCUUGGACAACCAAGAAACGGAAGGGGUGGCAAGAUCAUCUAUAGAAGUAGAGUAUAGGGUUGUCGCAAACACGGCCUCUGAACUAAGUUGGGUAUAUAUGUAAUAUU
rnacentral:sRNA from 1 species